rnacentral:rRNA from 1 species
UUCCGGUUGAUCCUGCCGGAGGCUACCGCUAUUGGAGUUCGAUUAAGCCAUGCGAGUCGAGAGUCUUAGGGACUCGGCGUACCGCCCAGUAACACGUGGGUAACCUGCCCUAUGCUGGGGAAUAACCUCGGGAAACUGAGAAUAAUACCCCAUAGUUCACCACGCCUGGAACGGUGGGUGGAUGAAAGCUCCGGCGGCAUAGGAUGGGCCUGCGACGUAUCAGGUUGUAGGGGGUGUAACGUACCCUCUAGCCAUCAACGCGUACGGGUGUUGGGAGACAUAGCCCGGAGAUGGAUUCUGAGACACGAAUCCAGACCCUACGGGGUGCAGCAGGCGCGAAAACUUGGCAAUGCGAGCAAUCGUGACCAGGGAACUCCAAGUGGCUGGGGUAAUACCCAGUUUUUUCUUGACUCUUCAAAGGUCUUGGAAUAAGGGGUGGGUAAGGACGGUGCCAGCCGCCGCGGUAAUACCGGCGCCUCAAGUGGUAGUCGCUUUUAUUGGGCCUAAAA